rnacentral:ribozyme from 1 species
UUCUCUUCCUUCUUCUCUUCCUUUUUCUCUUCCUUCUUCUUUCCCUUCGUGUCCACCUUCUUGAGUAAUCAGAAUAUCAGGAGAAGGGGGAAGUUUCGAGG